rnacentral:rRNA from 1 species
UACGUAGGGAGCAAGCGUUGUUCGGAUUUACUGGGCGUAAAGGGCGCGUAGGCGGCAAUUCAAGUCAUCUGUGAAAUCUCCGGGCUUAACUCGGAACGGUCAGAUGAUACUGCUUUGCUAGAGUGCGGAAGGGGCAAUCGGAAUUCUCGGUGUAGCGGUGAAAUGCGUAGAUAUCGAGAGGAACACCAGAGGUGAAGACGGGUUGCUGGGCCGACACUGACGCUGAGGAGCGAAAGCCAGGGGAGCAAACGGG